AAUUCUCAAUUGCUUUUGCGCCCCCUUUGGAACCCUAAUUAGGGACGUUCGCUUCCAAUCUUGAUUUUUUGCAGGUCGGUGGGAAGAGUUGGAUUUACCUUAUUCUCAUGCCGGUGAUGAAACAUUGGAGCUCAGAGGGAGAGGGCGUGGAUGGAAUGCGGGAGUUCUAUUGUGACCAAAUAUGGACUUUAUAUAUGUUCUAGGCAUUCAUUGCAUAUAUUUGUCUUUGGCAAGCUUUUCUAACAAUAUUCCCAGUAUACAACAACAUCCGACACAACAGGGCAGGGUCAUUGUGAUGAAGUAUCUGCAGUUGAUCAGAAGGAAGUAGUUGUAGCUGGAGCACAAAAUAAGGCUACUCAUUAUAGUUCAUCUAAAGAUACAAUCUGUGGUUCCGCAUCCGCAAUUUCUGUAUCCAACAUGUCAAUUCCUGCAUUGAACUUUGUUACCAGAGAUCCGUUGUCAGAUACCUCUUCAGGGGUGGAGAAAAUUCAAAGAAAAUCAAGGAACUCCGAUGCAACAGUUAGUGUUAGUAAAAAGGUCAAUUUGACUCUCAUUUCUUUGAACUUGACCAGUCCGAAUUAUGAUGUUAAAGGAAAGGAGCUAGAUUCAGUGGGAAACACAUCAAAUGUUCACAAUGAGAAUGAAAAACAUGAAACUGAACUUCCUAUCAUCAUAGACUUGCCAUGUGCAGAAAUGGUUGGCUCUGAAUCUGGGGUAAAGGGGAAGAGGCGACGUACUUCCAACAACAAGGAAAUGGUGAAUCUUGGGGGUGACAAGAAGCAAAGACUGAAUGAUUCCAUGGUUUCAAUGAUGAAGUGCAGCUUACUUCCACAUUGAUUUUGAAACAGAGUAUUACCUUCAGUUGGGUUUAAAUACCGAAGUGGUGUAGUCCCAUAUUGACUUCUUAAUAAACUGUUUUUCCCUUGGUUGGCUAUGAAUAUGGUAAAUGUUGGCAAACUUAAGCAUACCAAAUCAAGAGAACUUUCAUGGGCUGUAUGUGCCUUUGGGCAAUUCUAAAGGAUGCACUAUGAUUUCCUUUACAUGCACAAUGAGAGUGCAGUCGGAGGACAUAUAGUUUUGGAGAUUAUGGAUGAUGUUGUGCACAUAAAUUUGCCAUUAAUUGUGCCUCUUGAAAAAAACAAUAAUUCUCAAGAGUGCAUUGAUUUAAUAUCUCUCUUAUGUGAAUUUUACGCGUCUUCAUAUCUUUGGAAAGCUUUUCUAAUCACAACCCCAGACAGCAUGUGGACAUCUCUAUCUUUGGCAGCCCUUCCAACAAGGAUUUCUUGGGCGCCUAAGUGUGCGGAUGUCCAUAUGCAGCAUCGACAUCUCAAGAGUGAGAGUUGUAAGGGUAUUGAAAAUGGCACAACGCACUCGAUCGGAGGGCAUCAUCUAAGUUGCCUCUCCAAUAUAUAUAUAUAUAUAUAUAUAUAUAUAUAUGAUAAGCUAUAUAUAUUAAGGUUUAUUGGAAAUUGGUGACUUUGGUUAUAUAUGAAAUCGCUUCCAGUUUGUAAACACAGUUGUGUGCGAGAAUUUAUGGUCGAUAUUAAUUGAGACGUAAUUCCAUUUUACUUAUAAUAAAAUCCCCGGCAUUAAGUGACCUUUCCACGUUAAUUCUUUCAUCUGUUGUUUGCUGACUUUUGUACUCAGGUAAAUA